GACAGAGGGUGCAAACGUUGUUCGGAAUUACUGGGCGUAAAGCGUGUGUAGGCGGCCUUAUAAGUCGGACGUGAAAGCCCCGGGCUCAACCCGGGAAGUGCACUCGAUACUGUGAGGCUCGAGUAUCGGAGAGGUUGGUGGAAUUCUCGGUGUAGAGGUGAAAUUCGUAGAUAUCGAGAGGAACACCGGUGGCGAAAGCGGCCAACUGGACGAAUACUGACGCUGAGACACGAAAGCGUGGGGAUCAAACAGG
rnacentral:rRNA from 1 species